UAUCCAUGGUGGGGGCAAAUGGUUUGCAACUUUUUGUAUCUCUCCCAGGCUUGGUAUAAGGUUUCACUAUCCUUUUAGGCAAAUGAAAAAAUUGCUUCUUAAGGGU
rnacentral:snoRNA from 1 species